rnacentral:rRNA from 1 species
AGUUUGAUUAUGGCUCAGAUUGAACGCUGGCGGGAUGCUUUACACAUGCAAGUCGAACGGCAGCACGGACUUCGGUCUGGUGGCGAGUGGCGAACGGGUGAGUAAUGUAUCGGAACGUGCCUAGUAGCGGGGAUAACUACGCGAAAGCGUAGCUAAUACCGCAUAUUAUCUUCGGGGAAAGCGGGGACCUUUCGGGCCUCGCACUAUUAGAGAGCGGCCGAUAUCGGAUUAGUUAGUUGGUGGGGUAACGGCUCACCAAGGCGAUGAUCCGUAGCUGGUUUGAGAGGACGACCAGCCACACUGGACUGAGACACGGCCCAGACUCCUACGGAGGCAGCAGUGGGGAAUUUUGGACAAUGGGGAAACCUGAUCCAGCCAUCCCGCGUGUGCGAUGAAGGCCUCGGGUUGUAAAGCACUUUUGGCAGGAGUGUCGGCACGGGAUAAUACCCCGUGCAACUGACGGUACCUGCAGAAUAAGCACCGGCUAAAUUACGCCAGCAGCCGCGGUAAUGUAGGCAAGCGUUAAUCGGAAUUACCAAGCGUAAAGCGUGCGCAGGCGGUUCGGAAAGAAGAAAGAUGGUGAAAUCCCAGAGCUUAACUUUGGAACUGGGCUUAACUACCGAGCUAGAGUGUGUCAGAGGGAGGUGGAAUUCGCGCAGUAAGAAAUGCGUAGAUAUGCGGAGGUCACCCGACGGCGAAGGCAGCCUCCUGGGAUAACACUGACGCUCAUGCACGAAAGCGGGAGCAAACAGGAUUAGAUACCCUGUAGUCCACGCCCUAAACGAUGUCAACUAGCUGUUGGGGCUCGGGCCUGGUGGUAGCGCAGUUCUGCGUGGUUGACCGCCUGGGGAGCAUGUCGCAGAUUAAAACUCAAAGGAAUUGACGGGGACCCGCCAAGCGGUGGAUGAAGGAUUACCUGAUGCAACGCGAAAACCUUACCUACCCUUGACAUGUCUGGAAUCCCGAAGGAUUGGGAGUGGCCGCAAGAGAACCGGAACACAGGUGCUGCAUGGCUGUCACCGCUCGUGCCGAGAUGUUGGGUUAAGUCCCGCAACGAGCGCAACUCUUGUCAUUAUUACAUGAAAGGGCACUCUAAUGAGACUGCCGGUGACAAACUGGAGAAGGUGGGGAUGACGUCAAGUCCUCAUGGCCCUUAUGGGUAGGGCUUCACACGUCAUACAAUGGUCGGGACAGAGGGUCGCCAACCCGCGAGGGGGAGCCAAUCCCAGAAACCCGGAUCGUAGUCCGGAUCGCAGUCUGCAACUCGACUGCGUGAAGUCGGAAUCGUUAGUAAUCGCGGAUCAGCAUGUCGCGGUGAAUACGUUCCCGGGUCUGUACACACCGCCUGUCACACCAUGGGAGUGGGUUUUACCAGAAGUAGUUAGCCUAACCGUAAGGAGGGCGAUUACCACGGUAGGAUUCAUGAUUGGGGUGAAGUCGUAAAUGUUGCAA